rnacentral:rRNA from 1 species
UAGGGAAUCUUCCACAAUGGGCGCAAGCCUGAUGGAGCAACACCGCGUGAGUGAAGAAGGGUUUCGGCUCGUAAAGCUCUGUUGUUGAAGAAGAACGUGCGUGAGAGUAACUGUUCACGCAGUGACGGUAUUCAACCAGAAAGUCACGGCUAACUACGUGCCAGCAGCCGCGGUAAUACGUAGGUGGCAAGCGUUAUCCGGAUUUAUUGGGCGUAAAGCGAGCGCAGGCGGUUGCUUAGGUCUGAUGUGAAAGCCUUCGGCUUAACCGAAGAAGUGCAUCGGAAACCGGGCGACUUGAGUGCAGAAGAGGACAGUGGGACUCCAUGUGUAGCGGUGGAAUGCGUAGAUAUAUGGAAGAACACCAGUGGCGAAGGCGGCUAUCUGGUCUGCAACUGACGCUGAGGCUCGAAAGCAUGGGUAGCGAACAGGAUUAGAUACCCUGGUAGUCCAUGCCGUAAACGAUGAGUGCUAGGUGUUGGAGGGUUUCCGCCCUUCAGUGCCGGAGCUAACGCAUUAAGCACUCCGCCUGGGGAGUACGACCGCAAGGUUG